AAUCAAAACUGUGAAAAGAUUGUCGGUACCCCCUACCCACCCUUGAGGACUUGCACGCUGCCAGAACUAAGACAAGAGCGUGCAAAAUCCUCUCUGACCCACCACAUCCCCGUCACAAGCUCUUCCAGCUACUUCCCUCAGAUGUUGCCGUGGCCCAAUGGUUAAGAUCAUCACCUACCACCGUGGGGGACCUGGGUUCAAGACCCUGACUGGACCAUCUGUCAACAUCAUCCGGACUCACGGCUGUGGUGACCUUGAGCAAGACACUGAUACACCGAAAUGCUCCCCGGGCGCUUCAGCUGCCCCCUGCUCCAGUGUGUUCCACUAACGUGUAUGUGUUCACUGUGAUGGGUUAAAUGCAGAGAACUGAAUUCAUGCAUGUUCAUGACAAUAAAAGGUGAUUCUUC